rnacentral:lncRNA from 10 species
UUGGGAGGACUGUAUGGAGAGGGUUUUGUAAAUUUAAAUAGGAGGAUAAAAAGCUUUUCUUGAGGAAAAAUAGAUAAGACAUUCAGUAACUAAUCCCAGAAUCCCUUAAUACUCAGAGCACAUUUGAUGAAGACACGUGGUGGGGUGUGUUGCUGACUGUUCAGCCAGAAGCCCAGAGUCUUGACCGAAGAAAUUUGUCAGCCUCCUUUGAGCUCUUUGAAGGGAUUUUUGUCCUCUGGGAUGCCCUUUACCAGUGGAUCCUUGCCAGAUCAUUCUUCAACGUAAUCUCUUCUUCACAACAUUUGGAUACCUUAAGGGGAAGGAAAAACGGAUGACUCAUUUGGUUUAAAACAGAAUACUCCAGAUGCCAAGAAUUUAUUUACUGCAAUAAGUUUUCAGGUCGUAUAAUUUCAGUUUGAUUCUCUCUGCUUUCCACCAAUGCAUACGUACUUUGUAGGAAAGAAGAAAGUUGCACCCUUCCCACUCCUUCUGGAUAUAUCUCCAGACAAAGGAAAAACAGCUGGCCAUGCUCCAGCUAAAGAUUCCCCGUAGACACUGCCUCCAACAUCAAAGGAGACAAGACCCAGGAAUCAGAACACAACUGGCAACGGAAGUCAAGAAUGUCAUCAGAUUUCAUACUGAUUAAAUCUUUUUCCUCAUUCCAAAAAUGUGACUCGUAAAGGUGGAAGAGAAUAAUUAUUAAAUUCCAGGCUUAUCAUCAUCCCUAAAUUCUCAGAAGUAUAUACAUGGCGUGAUCUCCACUCACUGCAACCUCCAUCCUCCACCUUCUGGGUUCAAGUGAUUCUCCUGCCUCAGCCUCCUGAGUAGCUGGAAUUAGAGGCACACGCCACCAUGCCCAGCUAAUUUUGUAUAUUUAAGUUUGUUUUUGUUUUGGUAGAGACAGGGUUCACCAUGUUGGCCAGGCUGGUCUCGAACUGCUGAUCUCAGGUGAUCCUCCCAUUUAGGCCUCCCAAAGUGCUGAGAUUACAGGCAUGAGCCACUGCACCUGACCCUAAGAUUCCUUUUCUAGAUGAAGAGAAUGCCAAGUCAAAAGAUGAACUGUGUCUGAUGCUCUGAGUAUCUUAGCAACUACUUAUAAUUCAUGGUAUCAGAAUGAUUUCUCCGGUGAGGAGUGGUGGCUCAGGCCUGUAAUAUCAGUACUUUGGGAGGUCGAGGCGGGAGGAUCACUUGAGGUUAGGAGUUUGAGACCAGCCUGGCCAACAUGGCAAAACCUCUUCUUUACUAAAAAUACAAAAAGAGUUAGCCGGGCGUGGUGGGACUGAAUUACUUGAACCAGGGAGGCAGAGGUUGCAAGUGAGUCAAGAUCGUACCGCUGCACUCCAGCCUGCGUGAGAGAGUGAGACUCUUGUCUCAAAAGAAUAAAAUAAAAUAAAAAAUAAAAAAACAGAUUUCCCUCACCAUUUUUUUCUGUAAGACUUUAACUCCCAUCAUACAUAAUUGAUCAUUCUCAUUACUCAGUUUACUAUUUUCCUCAUGUUAACUCAUAUUUUAGUAAUUUAGGAAGAUUGAUAUUAGCUUGGUUUUAAAAUUUGGCUAAAAUAAAAC